GUAAACACAAAUACCUUACAGCUGGGGCAUGGCCCCUCAGACUCACCCCUGGGUGCAGAACAAGAGCUGUUACAACACUGUACCUGCAGAAAGGCCACUCCUUGGGAAUCAGUCCAACAAAGGGAGAGUAAGCUACAAGAAUAAAGGAGG